GGCAACGUGCCAGAGUGGUUAAUGGGUGCGCCUCGAAAGCGUAUGGCUUCGGCCGCAUCGGUUCGAAUCCGAUCGUUGUCG
rfam:Chaetomium thermophilum var. thermophilum DSM 1495 unplaced genomic scaffold scf7180000011816, whole genome shotgun sequence.